rnacentral:rRNA from 1 species
UACGAAGGGGGCUAGCGUUGUUCGGAAUUACUGGGCGUAAAGCGUAUGUAGGCGGAUCGUUAAGUCGGGGGUGAAAUCCCGAGGCUCAACCUCGGAACUGCAUUCGAUACUGCCGUGCUUGAGGACUGGAGAGGAGACUGGAAUUCCCGGUGUAGCGGUGAAAUGCGCAGAGAUCGGGAGGAACACCAAUGGCGAAAGCAGGUAACUGGACUAUUACUGACACUCAGCUGCGAAAGCUAGGGGAGCAAACAGG